rnacentral:misc_RNA from 1 species
GCGUCAUCUCAACCCUCAAGCUCCGCUUGGUGUUGGGCCUCGUCCCCCCGCGGACGUGCCCGAAACCCGUAGGCGGCGCCGCACCGGCCCCAGGAGUAGCAAAAACCCUCUCCUCGGGAUCCGGCGCGACGCUCGCCUGGGAACCACCCAUCAUUUCAAGUCUUGACCUCGGAUCAGGUAGGGAUACCCGCUGAACUUAA